rnacentral:rRNA from 1 species
UGGGGAAUUUUGGACAAUGGGCGCAAGCCUGAUCCAGCCGUGCCGCGUGCGGGAAGAAGGCCUUCGGGUUGUAAACCGCUUUUGUCAGGGAAGAAAUCUUCUGAGUUAAUACUUCGGGAGGAUGACGGUACCUGAAGAAUAAGCACCGGCUAACUACGUGCCAGCAGCCGCGGUAAUACGUAGGGUGCAAGCGUUAAUCGGAAUUACUGGGCGUAAAGCGUGCGCAGGCGGUUUUGUAAGACAGAGGUGAAAUCCCCGGGCUCAACCUGGGAACUGCCUUUGUGACUGCAAGGCUUGAGUGCGGCAGAGGGGGGAUGGAAUUCCGCGUGUAGCAGUGAAAUUGCGUAGAUAUGCGGAGGAACACCGAUGGCGAAGGCAAUCCCCUGGGCCUGCACUGACG